AUCCAUCUGACGAGUCCCAAAUAAGACGAAGUGUCGCGUUUCCUGGAU
rnacentral:hammerhead_ribozyme from 1 species